ensembl:snoRNA SNORD116 Small nucleolar RNA SNORD116
GGAUCAAUGAUGACUUCCAAAUAUGAAUUCCUUGGAAAGCUGAACAAAAUCAGUGAGAACUCUAUACCGUCAUCCUCUUCGAACUGAGGUCC